UGCAUUCUAACUGUGUCCUGUGUGUUUAAGCUGCAGCUGUGAAUGGCUUCGACCGGCUCGAUCUUUGUAGUAGUAAGUUAAUACGCUACAAGCCCUGGAAUUCAACAGGUCACACUAGAAAAGCCCGGUGGAAUGAAACCCUUUAAACAGCCAAUCUUUGUCCUCAGACGUUCUCAUUUAGUCGGCUUGACCGGCAGAUCAAGGCUGUGCUUCUGUUAUGGCAACAAGUGCUGGGUCGAAACAGUAGGUUCAACGACCGGUCAAUGACCGGAACACAGGAGAGGGAGCGAGAGAAGGAGAGAGAGGAGAGAACGGAGAGAGAACACUGCUUUAGAAGGCAUAUCGUAAUUUAUUUUAGGAAAGAAACAGAAACAGCGGCUUCAUUUCCUCCAUCGCUCUCUCCUGAGAAGUAACGGUGGAUCCCUGGGUGAGGUGGCGUUACCCAAACCUUCACCGUGUCAUCAUCCUGUCCGCUGGUGCCCCUGCAUCCAGAUGAAUGCACACUGUAGAGACGCACGUCUGUGGACCAACUGCACCUUAAUGGACAGAGAGGGGAACUCGCUCAACAGCCAUUGUACGUGACUGCGGGUCAACUCUGUGUCUCUGCAUGCUGUCUACUGCUCACAGGUCAACUGGAUGCGGUGUCAGGCAGCCACAGACCCCCUGGAUGCGAGUCCCCUGGACACACCAACCAGACGAUGCCAUGUUGCCCUGCCUCGUCGUCCUGCAGCCCAGCAGGGGUGCCAGGGGCUGACUGGAACCCUAGACCCAACAUAUUGCAGUGCACUUCUUCUCACCGGAGUCCCAUGGGCACUGGGCGUCGUUGAUUAGCGAUUAGCGUCGACGGGGUUCACCUCAUGACUUGGGAAAUUGGAAAACAUCUUUCCAUAACAUUUUGGUCCUGAUUCUGGAGGCUGAUUUGAUUCAGAAACACAAACCUGAAACCUUAAAAUAAAGCCAGAAGAAAGAAACCUGUAAAUAUUACUAUGAUGUAAAUUACUAAACCACAACAGGUUUCUAUUAGGUCUGGCCCUCUCAGUCCCUCUCUCUCUCUCUGUUUCUCUUUCUGUUUCAGUCUCACUCUUUGUCUCUUCAACAGGGC
ensembl:lncRNA